rnacentral:rRNA from 1 species
GAUUAUGGCUCAGGAUGAACGCUAGCGACAGGCUUAACACAUGCAAGUCGAGGGGCAUCAUGAGGUAGCAAUACCUUGAUGGCGACCGGCGCACGGGUGAGUAACGCGUAUGCAACCUGCCCGAUACCGGGGUAUAGCCCAUGGAAACGUGGAUUAACACCCCAUAGUACUUUUAUCCUGCAUGGGAUGUGAGUUAAAUGUUCAGGGUAUCGGAUGGGCAUGCGUCCUAUUAGUUAG